UCGACACCGUCCUUGAAAAAUCUAUUUUCAAUUAUUUUUUAAUAAAUCAAAAUACUUUGCUUAUAUGCUUUUAGAAAAUCUUACAAACUAUUUUUAUGUAACAUCUUUUUUCAAUUUUAACCCGAAAAAGGGGUUAUUUUUCAAUUUUAACCCGAAAAAGGGUUAUUUUGCAAUUUUUUAAGAAUUUUUUGAUUUUUUCAAUUUUUUAUUAUUAUUUUUUAUUAUUUAUUGUUGUUUUUUCAAUUUUUAGUUAGUAACCUAUAAUAUUGUGUCUAAUUUUAAGUGUCAUUAAAAUCAAAUGUUUUUAACUUAAUAAUUUUAACAUUUCUUAAUUUAAAACGAAACAUCUUCUAUUAUAUUAAGUUAACAAAUUUCGAAAAACGACACCGACCCCGUGACCUCGACACCGUCCUUGAAAAAUCUAUUUUCAAUUAUUUUUAAAUAAAUCAAAAUGCUUUGCUUAUAUGCUGUUAGAAAAU